rnacentral:ribozyme from 1 species
CAAACGUUCGGGAAGAGCGGUGCUGGCGGCCGCAAUGGUAAUUGGCAACCUCCGCCCGAGGCAAGCUCUAGUAAACCCCCGCAA